AGAGUUUGAUCCUGGCUCAGAACGAACGCUGGCGGCGUGCUUAACACAUGCAAGUCGAACGCGAAAGGGACUUCGGUCCUGAGUAAAGUGGCGCACGGGUGAGUAACGCGUGGAUAAUCUGCCCAAUGGUCCGGGAUAACAUUUCGAAAGGGGUGCUAAUACCGGAUAAGACCACGAGAUCUUCGGAUUUUGCGGUAAAAGGUGGGGACCUUCGGGCCUACCGUCAUUGGAUGAGUCCGCGUACCAUUAGCUAGUUGGUAGGGUAAGAGCCUACCAAGGCAACGAUGGUUAGCUGGUCUGAGAGGAUGAUCAGCCACACUGGAACUGAGACACGGUCCAGACUCCUACGGGAGGCAGCAGUGGGGAAUUUUGCGCAAUGGGGGAAACCCUGACGCAGCAACGCCGCGUGAGUGAUGAAGGCCUUCGGGUCGUAAAGCUCUGUCAGAGGGAAAGAAAUGUAGUUGCGCUAAUAUCAUGAUUACUUGACGGUACCCUCAAAGGAAGCACCGGCUAACUCCGUGCCAGCAGCCGCGGUAAUACGGAGGGUGCAAGCGUUGUUCGGAAUUAUUGGGCGUAAAGCGCGUGUAGGCGGUUUGUUAAGUCUGAUGUGAAAGCCCCGGGCUCAACCUGGGAAGUGCAUUGGAAACUGGCAGACUUGAAUACGGGAGAGGGUAGUGGAAUUCCUAGUGUAGGAGUGAAAUCCGUAGAUAUUAGGAGGAACACCGGUGGCGAAGGCGGCUACCUGGACCGAUAUUGACGCUGAGACGCGAAAGCGUGGGGAGCAAACAGGAUUAGAUACCCUGGUAGUCCACGCCGUAAACGAUGAGUACUAGGUGUUGCGGGUAUUGACCCCUGCAGUGCCGCAGCUAACGCAUUAAGUACUCCGCCUGGGAAGUACGGUCGCAAGACUAAAACUUAAAGGAAUUGACGG
rnacentral:rRNA from 1 species